UUGGACCUAAGAGGACAUAGAAGAUAUGGAUCUCACUCACUGCUGGCAGAGUACAUCAGGGACCUUGGACAUCAGCAGUUGAUGCCAGUGCAGGAUGCUCAAGAGCUGGACAGGAUGAACCACUCUUCAACCGAGGCCAACACAAGGUGCUCCAAUGGAAUGAGGCACAAGGAAAUGAAGCAUGGAAGAGCACAGGAUAUCAGAAAACUGACAUCAGAAAAGAACAUAUUCCCACUCCUCUCCCUUCUCCCUUUUAAAACUCCUCUCACCACUCUCAGUAAAAUUGAUCACACUUUGGGGGCAGGUAAGGAAAAUAGAGAAGAAUAUGUUAAAAAUUGUCUCGGCAGCACCUACAGCAGAUGGAAAUUCCUGGGCCGGGGACUAAACCCACGCCACAGCAGUGACCUGAGACAUAGUAGCAAUCAUGCUGGAUCCUUACCACUAGGUCACAAGAGAACUCUUGAAAUAUGUUAAAUUUAAUUAAUAUUUUUACUGCAUAUUAAACUCAGAAUCAUCAAUUCCCAGGAAAUAGUUUAAGAAUUAUCUACCAUUACAUUAAUUACAUUCACAAUAUAAAAUUAGGAAAACCAUAUUCCUUGACAUUGGAAUUUACAACUCUAAAUUUCAAGCCUCACAAACAUUUAUCCCUGUUGAUUAUAUGACCAGUAAUGAUCAGUAUGUCUCUCACUGGUGAUGCUCCAUGGAUGUUGUAAAAAUCUCCUAACGAUUGCACAUGUAUUGAAAUGUGAUAUUGCAAAUAUUGCAAAAUACACAUAGUCUUUAAGGAAAUUGAUGUUGGAGAAAAUAUAAGGGCACAUAUACAAGUCUGAAUUAUAUUGUCUAGUUAUUAUAGUUUUUGAAUUAUAUUGCCUAGCUAUUGUAUAUAUAUUUUUUUACAGUCAGGUUUAAUAAAGCAUGUUUGAAAUACAGUAAAAUUCAUCUUCUUAGGUGUAGAGUUUGUGUUUUCACAAAUAUUUAUAGUCACUUCGUCAUCACUACAGUCAAGGUCUAGAAUACAUCCAUCUUUAAGAAAUUACCUUCACUUUACCAGAGAGAAGGUUCAGACUUCUCAAGGGCAAUUACCUGGCCCAAGCUCCAAAUGCCAGAACUGGUUAUGACACUUAAGACCAAGCCUCCUCCUCUUGUAGUUAGGGCUACCCUGGUAACCUGGGGUAACCCAGUGAAGGCAGAGAUGGAUCUGGAUUAUAGAAUACUGGAUUUUGUUGACCUAAAUUUUACACUAACAGUUUGGGAUAAGCAGUCUGUAAGCAAAAGUAUGUCUUUCACAAGACUGUCUUUAGGUAGAGCACAUGUACGCAAUGAAACACUAUUCCUUUUUUUAUUAAUGAUUUAUUUCCCCAUUUUAGUUGGUUUACAGUGUUCUGUCAAUUCCCUGUAACAAGUGACCCAGUCACACACAGACACACACACACACAUACACAUUAUUUUUCUCACUUUAUCCUCCAUCAUGUUCCAUCACAAGUGACUAGACAUAGUUGUUCCCCAUGCUAUACAGCAGGAUCUCAUUGCAUAUCCACUCCAAAUGCAACAAUUUGUGUCUAUUAACCCCAGACUCCCAGUCCAUCCCACUCCCUCCCUCUCCACCUGGGGAACCACAAGUCUGUUUUCCAAGUCCAUGAGUUUCUUUUUUUGUGGAAAGUUUCAUUUGUGUUGUAUACUAGAUUCCAGAUACAAGUGAUAUCAUAUGGUAUUUGUCUUUCUCUUUCUGACUUACCUCACUUACUAUGAGUCUCUAGUUCCACCCAUGUUGCUCCAAAUGGCAUUAACAAUUCAAAAGCAAAAAAACCCAACAACCCAAUUGAAAAAUGUGUAAAAGACCUGAAUAGAGAUUUCUCUAAAGACAUAUGAAUAGCCAACAGGCACAUAAAAAAUGCUCAACAUCGCUAAUUAUUAGAGAUAUGCAAAUCAAAACUACUAUGAGGUACCACCUCACACCUAUCAGAAUGGCCAUCAUUAACAAGUCCACAAAUAAAUGCUGGAGAGGGUGUGGAGAAAAGGGUACCCUCCUACACUAUUGGUGGGAAUGUAAAUUGGUACAACUGCUAUAGAAAACAGUAUGGAGGUACCUCAGAAAUUAUAGAACCACCUUAUGACCCAGGAAUCCCACUCUUGGGCAUAUAUCCACACAAACUUUCCUUGAAAAAUAUGCAUGCACCUGUGUGUUCAUUGCAGCACUACUCACAAUAGCCACGAUAUGGAAACAACCUAAAUGUCCAUUGACAGAUGAAUGGAUAAGAAGAUGUGGUAUAGAUACACAAUGGAACAUUAUGUUUAAUCACCGCUAGUUUCCGCUUGUUCCUACAUCUAUAGCUCCUUAAAAGUAUUGCAUAAUAAGGAACUCCUUCAGGCUUUCAAAUCUAUCCCAUGAGGCUUAACUAAGAUUCAUGGACCCUAAAUAGUCUGGGCAGGCAUCACCAGUCAGGCAGUCUGAUGCACUGUGGUGACUUGUUUCCUCAGAUGUAUAGGUGGUAAUAUCUAGUUAAUCAGUAAGCAUAUAGUCCCUUAUAGUAUGAGGAAAAAUAAGUUCUGAAAUAAUUUUUGGGUUUGGAUUAUGACUCCUUCCUUCCUUACUGUUUGACCUUGAGUUAAUUCUUUAAUCUCUCUAUAGCAACACCUACCUGAAAAAUGUAUAAAAAGGUAUAUUUAUAUAUAGUAUAUAUAAUAAUAUAAUUAUAUAUAAUAUAUGCUACCUUAAGUGUAUGGUGUUUAUGAUCUCUCCUAGUACAUAUCAUACUUAAUGUUCAGUAACUAUUAGUCAUUUUAUUUUGGUUAGAAAUAGAGAUGGAAAGAUUAAAAGGAAUGCCAGAUGUCCACAGAGCUAUAUGAUGACUGAUUUAUAUUAUUUAUCAUAGACAGGAAGAACAGUUAUCUUAGGUAAGAAAUGUUUUACUUGAGGAGUUCCCAUUGUGGUGCAGUGGAAAUGAAUCUGACUAGGAACCAUGAGGUUGUGUGUUUGAUCCCUGGCCUUGCUCAGAGGGUUAAGGAUCCCGCAUUGUGAUGCGCUGUGAUGUAGAUUGCAGACCUGGCUCGCAUCUGGCGUUGCUGUGGCUCUGGUGUAGGCCGGCAGCUGUAGCUCAGAUUAGACCCACUGGCCUGGGAACCUCCUCCAUAUGCCACAGGUGUGGCCCUAAAAAG
rnacentral:lncRNA from 1 species